rnacentral:tRNA from 1 species
CACCCGAUGACUGAAAGUAAGUGUAGGUCUUUUAAACCUAUUAUAGUAUUCUGCGUCUACUUCUGGUGA